rnacentral:rRNA from 1 species
CGAAUACGAGACGCUACGGCGUCGAAGUAGUGUAUGUCACACUUCCAAGAAAAGCUUGCACUGUCAUAAAUAAAAAUGCCUGUACCAUAACCGACACAGGUGGGUAGGUAGAGUAUACUAAGGGGCGCGAGAUAACUCUCUCUAAGGAACUCGGCAAAAUAACUCCGUAACUUCGGGAGAAGGAGUACCUUAUUUACAUAAGGUUGCAAUAACAAGAUCCAAGCAACUGUUUACCAAAAACACAGGUCUCCGCUAAGUCGUAAGACGAUGUAUGGGGGCUGACGCCUGCCCAGUGCCAGAAGGUUAAAGAAGUUGGUUAGCAUCUGCGAAGCUGAUAACUGAAGCCCUGGUGAACGGCGGCCGUAACGAUAACGGUCCUAAGGUAGCGAAAUUCCUUGUCGGGUAAGUUCCGACCCGCACGAAAGGCGUAAUGAUUUGGAUACUGUCUCGGAGAGGGGCUCGGUGAAAUAGACUUGUCUGUGAAGAUGCGGACUACCUGCACCUGGACAGAAAGACCCUAUGAAGCUUUACUGUAACUUGAAAUUGAAAUUGGACUUUAUUCGCGCAGCAUAGGUGGGAGGCUUUGAAGAUACUCUUGCGGGAGUAUUCGAGCUAUCAGUGAGAUACCACUCUUAUAAUGUUAGAUUUCUAACUUUGAACCAUUAUCUGGUCAAAGAACAGUUUCAGGCGGGCAGUUUGACUGGGGCGGUCGCCUCCUAAACGGUAACGGAGGCGUACAAAGGUUUCCUCUGAACGGAUAGAAAUCGUAUCUAGAGUAUAAAGGCAUAAGGAAGCUUGACUGUGAGACCUACAAGUCGAGCAGGGACGAAAGUCGGUCUUAGUGAUCUGACGGUACUGAGUGGAAAGGCCGUCACUCAACGGAUAAAAGUUACUCUAAGGAUAACAGGCUGAUCUCCCCCAAGAGUUCACAUCGACGGGGAGGUUUGGCACCUCGAUGUCGGCUCAUCGCAUCCUGGGGCGGUAGUACGUCCCAAGGGUUGGGCUGUUCGCCCAUGAAAGCGGUACGCGAGCUGGGUUCAGAACGUCGUGAGACAGUUCGGUCCAUAUCCGGUGUAGGCGUUAGAAUAUUGAGAGGAGCCUUCUCUAGUACGAGAGGACCGAGAAGGACAUACCUCUGGUGUACCAGUUAUCGUGCCAACGGUAAACGCUGGGUAGCUAUGUAUGGAGUGGAUAACCGCUGAAAGCAUCUAAGUGGGAAGCCCACCUCAAGAUAAG